AUUGAACGCUGGCGGCAGGCCUAACACAUGCAAGUCGAGCGGAUGAAGGGAGCUUGCUCCUGGAUUCAGCGGCGGACGGGUGAGUAAUGCCUAGGAAUCUGCCUGGUAGUGGGGGAUAACGUCCGGAAACGGGCGCUAAUACCGCAUACGUCCUGAGUGAGAAAGUGGGGGAUCUUCGGACCUCACGCUAUCAGAUGAGCCUAGGUCGGAUUAGCUAGUUGGUGGGGUAGAGGCCUACCAAGGCGACGAUCCGUAACUGGUCUGAGAGGAUGAUCAGUCACACUGGAACUGAGACACGGUCCAGACUCCUACGGGAGGCAGCAGUGGGGAAUAUUGGACAAUGGGCGAAAGCCUGAUCCAGCCAUGCCGCGUGUGUGAAGAAGGUCUUCGGAUUGUAAAGCACUUUAAGUUGGGAGGAAGGGCAGUAAGUUAAUACCUUGCUGUUUUGACGUUACCAACAGAAUAAGCACCGGCUAACUUCGUG
rnacentral:rRNA from 1 species